rnacentral:rRNA from 1 species
AUUGAACGCUGGCGGCAGGCUCAACACAUGCAAGUCGAGCGGGGAAAGGUAGCUUGCUACCUGACCUAGCGGCGGACGGGUGAGUAAUGCUUAGGAAUCUGCCUAUUAGUGGGGGACAACAUUCCGAAAGGAAUGCUAAUACCGCAUACGCCCUACGGGGGAAAGCAGGGGAUCUUCGGACCUUGCGCUAAUAGAUGAGCCUAAGUCAGAUUAGCUAGUUGGUGGGGUAAAGGCCUACCAAGGCGACGAUCUGUAGCGGGUCUGAGAGGAUGAUCCGCCACACUGGGACUGAAACACGGCCCAGACUCCUACGGGAGGCAGCAGUGGGGAAUAUUGGACAAUGGGCGAAAGCCUGAUCCAGCCAUGCCGCGUGUGUGAAGAAGGCCUUUUGGUUGUAAAGCACUUUAAGCGAGGAGGAGGCUACUUGGAUUAAUACUCUAGGAUAGUGGACGUUACUCGCAGAAUAAGCACCGGCUAACUCUGUGCCAGCAGCCGCAGUAACAC